GGCGCUCCCGGGUUCCAGGCGCGGGGCGCGGGGCUCCCCGUGGCGGCGGCGAGGCGCGCGGGCCGCUGCGGCCUAGGCCAUCCGCUUCUGCCCUCGCUACUGCGUGGUCCGUUUGAGAAAAAUUGAUGGGUUUCCGUUAAGCGGGAAGAGUCUCCCACGUUGUCACCUGGUCAAGGUGACAUACUGAGAAAUGAGGACUGUUUCUUCCCAGAGAAAUGCAGAUCAUUUGGACAUUAAUGAAAGUUCUGCAUUCACCCACAGAAUGAGAGCUCGCAGAUAUUUUGAGAUGCAGAGAGAGAGAGAGAGAGGCAGAGACACAGGCAGAGGGAGAAGCAGGCUCCAUGCAGAGAGCCUGACGUGGGACUGGAUCCCGGGACUUCAGGAUCAUGCCCUGGGCUGCAGACGGCGCUAAACCCCUGCGCCACCAGGGCUGCCCUGUAAGUGAUUUCAAAUCAAUUUAUAAUCUAGGUCCCUUUGCUCUUCCUAGAUACCAUAUUCCCCAAAUCUAUCUAUCUACUUUUAUCUUUAGUAGCUACAAUUUAUUAUUUACAUAAAGGGACAUUUUAAAUUUGGCUCCUUCACCUUGUUUGGGUUUUGGGUUUUUUUUUGUUUUGUUUUUUUACUUCAGUCAUUUUGUAGGAAUAUUUUUAAAUAAGCAAAGAUUUUUCACCAAGGAUAUUGAGAGGUUUAACUGGCUUUGGUUCUUGCAGGCCUCUUAAAUAAUAAUUGGCUAGUCCUGGCCAAUGACUGAGCAUGGCAGGAGUACCAGUGGAGCCUCAUUGUUGGAAUAUUUGGGACUCCUCUAAUGGGUAGCUUUGCCUUGAGGACCACCUAUCAGUCUAGCUGAAACUCUUAGAACUAUGCUGCAGUCUGAGACCCUGUCUACUCAGUCAUUUCUUUUCCCUCUCAUUCAUAGGUGUCAGAUCUGUAUCACAGUGUAUACACUUUUCCACCUUCUCCUCCCCUUCCCUUCUAUCUUUCAUAGACAUUUCCCCUAAGAAAUCUGCAUGUUAUGGGCUGAAUUGUGUUCUCUCCGAAAUUCAUAUGGUGAAGCCCUAACACCCAGUAACUCAGACUGUAUUUAUUCAAAUACAGCCUCCUUUAAAGAGGCAAUUAAGUUAAAACUAAGCUGUUAGGGUGAACUCUAAUCCCAAUCUUUCCAAAAGAGGAUUGGACUCACAGAGAGACAGGAGGGGUAUGGUGCUGACUAAGGGCCAUGUGAGGACAGAGCAAGAAGGUGGCCAUCUGCAAGCUGAAGGAGAGGCCUCAGAAGCAACCAAAUCUGUGGAACUCUUGAUCUUGGGCUUCUAGGCUCCAGAAGUGUAAGAAAUAAAUUUCUAGGUUCCAAAACUGUGAGAAAUAAAUUUCUGUUGUUUAAGCUACCCAGCCCGUGAUAUUUUGUCAUGGCAGCCCUAGUUAAUACACAUGCCAAAUUCCACCUUGGCAACUCUGAGUAGAGGAUCCUAACUAAUACAAGUGAUACCGGCAGAGGUUCAAAAAACCCAAAACUAAAACAAAAGCUGAAUAAUAAAAUGAGGUUUCAGGACCAGCUCACACACUACCUGGUGGGCAAGAGACAAUAUUAUCCUGAGUAGGAUAGGACCAUGGGUAGUUCCCAGCACAAGGAAUGGAGUUGGCUGGUUACUGCUAAAUUAUAUUGAUACUCAGGAGGGAUAAAGAAAAAGCAAAGGUCUCCCUAGGUUAAUGGCCAAGUAUGAGAGACAGAGGACCUCUUCAGUAACUUACAAAGAGGCUUCUAUCUCCUAUAGUGGAGGAGCUGACACAGCUAUGCCACAGAUUCAGGACAUGAUAGAGGCACAGAGCCCCAGAAACAUUAAAAUGUAUGGCCAGAGCAGGUUAGGGCCCUGGUUGAGGAAACCUGAACCCCGAAACAAGGGUUGGGACAUCUGGAUGCAUGAAUGCACAACUGUAAGGAUAUCAGCUCUACAGACCCUCAAAAACUUUCAGAGUUCUCUGCAAAGAGAUGGUCUGUCCCUUCAUAGUAAGAACUAGUACUUCCUCCAUGCUGAAAGACAAUGCAGAGCUUCCCCUACUCUGGCUGCUGUGCUAAUAACCAGAACCAAAUCCUAGCAUUACCCAGCUGAAAACAUGCCUGACCUGAUAAAGGAGGAAAGAGAUCAUGUACAAAGGAGCUGUAAGAAUUAGCUAGCACACACAAAUCAGGAGAGUACAAUUGAGUUUUGAAGUUGUUUGAUCAUGGAGGCUGGAAUAUCAGACUAGAUAAUCAAGAAUUUAUUGACUUAGGAGCAUUUUCUUGAGUCAGGACUUAACACCCUGGUAAGGGUGUUUUAUCUUGGAGAUAAAACAACUCACUGUUGGGGGGGCUCUUAGAAACCUAGAGAAAGUGAUGGCCAACGCUGAGCAAAGUAGAAACAUGAGAGUUGCCCAGGCAUAUAUGGUAGGAGAGUGAAUUAAAAGACUGGGGGAGGUGGGCAUGCUGGGAUGGAUAUGGGUGAGGCCAAUCCUUUGAUAAUCCUAUCAAAGGAUUACACUUCAUAGGAGAGCCCAGAAGAUAAGCCAGAAGGCCAUUAGAAAUCCUCUGGUAAGGGGCAACAACACCAAGAAAUUCUCUACAGUCCUGAGCUAAUACUAGCAGUCACAGAGUUAGAGCUCAUUAAUAACUAGGGAAAUAAAGUUCCCCUUCCCCAAGUAGUAGAGGCCAGAUGGUGGCACUUAGUCACUAGAAGCGAGGAGGCCACAACUAUAAAGACCAGCAACAUCUAAUGAGUGGCAGCCAAAGGGACUUGACUCACAGGGAGUUGUGGAGAUGGAUAUAGAGGUGGGCAUCUGUAGGGAUGAAAUAGAUGGGAAGCCUAUUAACAUCAAUAACCCAAAAACAGACCAACAUGGAGGAGCAGGAUACUGAGGGUGAUUUCACCCAAAAAGUCAUUAUCCCUUGUCAGUGUCCCAAUCUGAAACAGCUUGACUUAGAGGUGGAAGAUCCUGCUUCACUGCAGGGAGUAUAAAUGUAAUGAUUCCCUGGUCCUUUCCCAAAAGAUAACUAUGGCCACUUUCUUCAGUGAUUACACAGUGGGGAAGAGGAGUAACCAGAGAAUUUGAGAACUAUUGGACUUAGGGUCUGAGUUUACAUCAAUAUGCUGAGGCCCAAAGUACUAUCAUGGCCUCUUAUUAGAGUGGAGGCAAAUGGAGUUCUGACUAAAGUCUAGCUUACAGCCCACCCACAUCAUUUCUCCAGUUCUCGAGUAUGUAAUUGGAAUUGAUAUACUUAGCAGCUGCAGUAAUACCAAAGUUAAAUCCUUGACCCGUGUGAAGUGACAGCUAUCAAUGGGGAAAGCCAAGUAGAAACAUCUGAAAAUGACCUUCCACCCGGCCAACAUGGUAAAUUAACAAACAUAUCACAUAACAGGGGGCAUGAUGGAAGUUAGUGCUACCAUUAAAGACCUAAGGAAUGUCUGUCUGGCCACUGCAAAAACUAGGUGGAUUCUGGAGAAUGACUUUAGACUGCCAUAGGCUUCAGCAAGAAACAGCCCCAACUGCACAUGCUGUGCUUGAUAUGGUCUUAUUACUGGAGCAGAUUAAUAAGGCAUCAGGACGUGAUAUGUGGCCAGUGAUUUGUUGAAUGAAUUAUUUUCCGGGAAGAGCGUCAGAAAUGAUUCACAUACAUGUGGGACAAAUAAUUAUUCAUUUACAGUUUUGCCUCAGGAUCAGUUAGCUCUGCCUUCUGUAAUAAUAAACCUCUUAAACAUCUCAGAAUAUAAGGGGAUCCCUGGGUGGCUCAGCGGUUUAGUGCCUGCCUUUGGCCCAGGGUGCGAUCCUGGAGUCCCGGGAUCGAGUCCCACAAACAAAAAGAACAAAAAGACUGAAUAAAAAGGAACUCCUGCUUGAUUGCAUAGGUAGAAUGCUCGUCUUUUCCAGACUUCAGGCUUGGACUAAAACAUCGGCUCUUUUUGGAUCUUGAACUUGCCAACUUUCGGACUGGAAAUUAUACCAUUGGCCCUCCUGGUUCUCAGGCCUUUGGAUUCAGACUGGAACUACACAUCAGCUUUCCUGGGUCUCCAGUUUGAUGACUGCAGAUCUUGGGACUUCUUGGCCUCCAUAAUCAUGUGAAUCAAUUCUUUAUAGUAAGCCAAUGGCUAUUGCUGUAUAAUCUAUGUGUACUUAUACCUACAUCCAUAUAACUAUAAUGACUCUGUUUUUCUGGAGUUCUCUGGCUAAUAUAGAUCUUGACACCACCAGUGGAAUGCAGCUGAAACAAAUAACUGAAAAUGUGGAAGCAGCUUUGGAACUGGAUAAUGGGUGGAGUUGGAAGAGUUUUACAGUACAUGCUAGAGAUAUGGACAUUAAGGGCAAUUCUGGUGAGAUGUCAGAAAUACGGAUCAUGUUACUGGAAACUGGAGGUAAGGUGAACUUUGUUAUAAAGUGGCAAAGAACUUGGCUGAACUGUGUUCUAGUAUUUUGUGGAAAGCAGAAUUUGUGAGCAAUGAAACUGAAUGUUUAGCUGAGGAGAUUUCUAAGCAUAGUAUUGAAGGAGGGGCUUGGUUCCUCCUGAUUGCUUAUAGUAAAAUGCAAAAGGAGAGAGGUGAAUUGAAGAAGGAAUUAUUGGAGCACCUGGGUGGUUCAGUGGUUGAACAUCUGCCUUCGGCUCAAGUCCUGAUCCUGGAGUCCUGGGAUGGAGUCCUGCAUCAGGCUCUGCAGGGAGCCUGCUUCUCCCUCUGCCCAUAUC